rnacentral:rRNA from 1 species
AUGGAGAGCCCUCUCCACCUCUUUGAGGUCAGUCUAGAUUCUAGGAAUACAUCUCCAUCUCUAGAGGAGAAAAUCCCAAUCUUGAGCUAUCUAGUUCCUUGUCAUACUUCUCCACAAACCAGCCCUACUCAUAUUAACAAGGUGCACAUUCUUUUAGGGAGCCCAUCUGAAAACAACUAUGAGCUGCUAUACCUUGACUCACUUGACGUGGACUUUAGGACAGUCCAUAAGGAUUAUAUGGAUGAGAGGACGAUAACUGUUCUUCCAAGGGUCAAAGCGUGGAAUGAAGGUCUGAUCAAAUCAGUAAUUAAGAAGGACAGGAUUAGGAAGGGUGUCUAUGGAAAGUUGCGACUAAAAGCCGAGUUCUCAAGAUGUGCAGAAGAUAGUGUUUUUGGGAGCAUGGAUCACAUCCAGAAGUUUGUUGCUGCGAGGCUUCCUCAAAACUACAACAGCAAUAAACAAAGGAGGUUGUCAAUGCUGGUCCAUGAUAUGUGCUCUGAAAUAUCAGUCCAAAUUGGGAGUAGCAGUAAGUGCAAGGAGACACUUUUGGCGUCCGAUGACGAGGAGGAGGAAUUCGACGAGCAAGAAUUUGAAUCUUCAGAAGAAGAAAAGGAGGAGAAAGGGAAAGAUGAGGACAGUCCUGAAGAGGAGAGUUCGGAUAAUGAUGGGGACAACAAUGCUGACGACGGCGACGAUGACUAUGAUGAUGAUGUUCCGUCAUACAGCAGCCUGCCAUCAGCCACGGAAUAUGAUGAUGAUUCACAUCACAUGGACGGUGACAACUCACAGCCGCCCCUUGCUGGUGAAGAAGAUGGUGGAGAUGAGGAAGACGACGGUGAGGAUGAUGUUGAAGAUGUAGAGCAGGACAGGGAGGAUGAUGAUGAAGAGGAACGGGAUGAUGAAGAGGACAAAGAGAAGGAGAGAAAUGUGGAAGAGGGCAAUGAUGAUAAAGAGAAUGAACCAGAAAAGGAAGUGGGGGAAUCGAAGGAGAAACAAGAUGAUGAAAAGAAUGAAGAAGAGGAAAAAGGGGAGGAAGACAAAGAGGAUGAUGAUGAUGAGGCGGAGCAAGAUGAUCCACCUUUUGAUCUUGGGAUAGAUGAGCCAACAGGAAUAACAGGCGAGGAGGGCAAGGUAGCAGAGGAUAAGGGGGUUGCAAAUGCAGCUACCCCGGUGACAUUGAGUGAGGAAUUGACUGGGGCAAUAUGGACUUCGAUGAAGUUGUCAAGGGGCAGUGAAAAAUGUUAGCCUUUCUUUUUGUUCUACAGGCUGCAAAUCAUAAACUAUCGUGGUUACUUCUGCACAAUCAAGGAGCUUGCUCAAUCAAUGAGGAAGGCAGGAUGGAUCAAGACACAUGUCUUUGAGUUAGGUAUUGAAGCAAUCAUGUACAACAAAAAUGUGGGGUCCAAGAAAAUAAUCAUGUCUGUUAGGUUUUUGACUUGGCUUCAAAGGCUCGAUCUCGAUGUGAGGGAGCUGCAUGAUAGGUUCAAAAAAUCAAACCGUUUGGAUGAGCAAGACAUGUUCGACAUGGUUAUGAUUCCUGUGCUUGAAAAUUUAGACCCAGAGAACGCCGAUGGUGCACACCACUACUGGGUACUCAACAUCAAUCUGAGGGACAAAAGGUUCGAAGUGCUUGACUCAUGGAGGAUGUUAAAGAAAAGCAAGAGGUUGGAUGAUGUUGCAAAGGCUAUUGUAGCUGCAGUUCAUGUGUUGUGGGACACAUACUAUCCAAAACAAGCAAAGACAAUGGACAAGUUCCUGCUUGUGGAUAUCGAUGCACCAAAGCAGACUGUAUCCGGUGACUGUAGCAUAUUCCCAUUGAUGAACACGUUAUUGUGGAACGGGACGUGGCUCCCGAACUAUGGACAAAGCAACAUACCAAACAUCAGGAAGAAGAUGACCAUCUCCAUGCUGAAGUGUGACCUGAACAAGAUUCCAUGGCAGGAGAUCCUCAAACUGGCCAACAAGUGA